rnacentral:lncRNA from 1 species
GGCCCCACAGUGGAGCUAUUUAGGCCCGGCUUCAUUUCAAAGACCUUGUUUCCACUUCGUUCUCAAACUUAUUUUUCUAAACAAGUACUUUUGAUCAGCUGGAAUGUUGGACUUCUCUUUGGGCUUGGGACUCCUCGAGCCUACACAAUCAGCAUGUCCACGAAGCUGUCCUUCACAGCGGGGACCUUGGUGAAGGACGGAGAAGCUGGAGCAAGAAUCCAAGAGAUGGAGAAGUAUCAAAACCAGGAAGGAGAAGGCUGGUUACUUAGGUGAUGCCAAACUCAGGACGCUCUGACUUGAGCUGAAGGGCGAGGCCCACAAACUUCCAGGUGAUUCUCUAUCCCUGCUUCCCAUGUCAUCAGAGGAGUUCGGAGAUCUCAGACUUGAGCCACCAUAUCCAGCUUUUAGGAAGAUGACAGGUUCCCACUCGGGGUAUCAGGCUUGUGCAGCAAGCACCAUUACCUUCCAUUAACUAUGUCAUCUGCCCUCGAGCAACACUGAACUGGUGUUGUUCUGCAGCUGUGACGUGUAAGCUUUUUAAAAGGUGUGCAACAAGUCUAAAGUGAUCUGUGUCUGUUACUAUUGUAGAUGCUCCCUACACAUGGGCAGGAAGUGCAGACUCGCAGGUAAAGGUUAGCAACAAGACCUAUACGCACGAUACAUACUCAUGCACAUAAAUAGACACAUAUAUAUAAACACACAUAUACACACACAAACACCCACUUCUACUCACUCACACAUACACACACACAAACACACACACAUAAACACACACACACAAAAACAUACACACACAUACACACACAAACACACACACAAACACACACACAAACACACACACGUGCACACACACACUCCUACUCACUCACACACACAAACAUACACACACAUAAACACACACACGUGUACACACACAUACUCCUACUCACUCACACACACACACA